rnacentral:misc_RNA from 1 species
UACGUAGGAGGCGAGCGUUGUCCGGAUUUACUGGGCGUAAAGAGCGCGUAGGCGGUCUGGUAACUCUUCGGUGAAAUCUCUCGGCUCAACUGGGAGGGGUCCGAGGAAAGUGCCAGGCUAGAGGGACGUAGGGGAGAGCAGAAUUCCCGGUGUAGCGGUGAAAUGCGUAGAUAUCGGGAGGAAUACCAGUGGCGAAGGCGGCUCUCUGGACGUUUCCUGACGCUGAGGCGCGAAAGCGCGGGGAGCAAACCGG